UCCCGUUGAUCCUGCGGGAGGUUGCUGCUAUCGGAAUUCGAUUUAGACAUGCAAGUUUGCUUUCUUCGGAAGGCGGCGAAAGGCUCAGUAACACGUAGUUAACUUACCUUUAGGUUCGGGACAACCUCGCCAAAGUGAGGCUAAACCCGGAUAGGAGAUUGAGGCUGGAAUGCACUUUCUCUUAAAGGCAACGCCUAAAGAUAGGACUGCGGCUGAUUAGGCUGCUGGUGAGGUAAUGGCUCACCAAACCUUUGAUCAGUAGGGGACUUGAGAGAGUUAGCCCCGAGAAGGGCACUGAGAUACUGGCCCUAGCUCUAAGGAGUGCAGCAGUCGCGAAACCUUUACAAUGCACGAAAGUGUGAUAAGGGGAUUCCGAGUGCCUUACCUUUGGUAAGGCUUUUGUCAAGUGUAAGUACCUUGGCGAAUAAGUGGUGGGUAAUACUGGUGCCAGCCGCCGCGGUAACACCAGAGCCACAAGUGGUGACCAUAUUUAUUGGGUCUAAAGCAUCCGUAGCUGGUUUAAAAAGUCUCUUGUGAAAUCGUUAAGCUCAACUUAACGACGUGCAAGAGAAACUAUUGGACUUGGAACCGGGAGGAGAUAGAAGUAUUCCAGGGGGAGCGGUAAAAUGUUAUAAUCCCUGGAGGACUACCUAUGGCGAAGGCAUCUAUCUAGAACGGGUUCGACAGUGAGGGAUGAAGGCCAGGGGAGCGAUCUGGAUUAGAUACCCAAGUAGUCCUGGCUGUAAACGCUGCGAGCUAUGUGUUGCAUGUUCUCAGUGGACAUGCAGUGCCGAAGCGAAGGCAUUAAGCCCGCCACCUGGGAAGUACGGCCGCAAGACUGAAACUUAAAGGAAUUGGCGGGGGCGCACAACAAGGGGUGGAGCGUGCGGUUCAAUUGGAUUUCACACCGGAAAUCUUACCAGUAGCGACGGCAGUAUGAAGGUCAGAUUAAAGGUUUUACCUAACAAGCCGAGAGAUAGUGCAUGGCCGCCGUCAGUUCGUGCUGUGAAGUGUUCUGUUAAGUCAGUUAACGAACAAGACCUAUAUCCACAUUUGCUAACAUUUCCUUUUGGAAGAAUGAGCACAAUGUGGGACUGCCUUGGAAACAAGGAGGAAGGUGUAGGCAACGGUAGGUCUGUAUGCUUCGAAUCUACUGGGCUACACGCGCGCGACAAUGAUAGGAACAAUGGGCUACAACUCUGAAAAGAGAAGUCAAUCCUCGAAAUCCUAUCCUAGUUCAGAUUAAGGAUUGUAAUUCAUUCUUAUGACGCCGGAAUCCCUAGUAAUCGGACUUCAAAAGAGUCCGGUGAAUAUGUCCCUGUGCCUUGCACACACCGCCCGUCAAACCAACCGAGCAGGGUUUAGAUGAGGUUUAGUUUUAGCUAUCCCGAAUCUAGUCUCAGUAAGGUGGGUUAAGUCGUCACAAGGUA
rnacentral:rRNA from 1 species